AAAUAUGCUUUAAGCAAAUUUAUAUCUUUUACAAUUUAAUCAGGGAAGUGAGGUGCAAAACCUCCGCAGUCCUAGCUACUGUAAUCCGCCUUUUUGGUGGAGAGUCAGAUACCUGAUGUUGUUUAUUCUUUUUC
rfam:Parcubacteria bacterium GW2011_GWA2_36_10 TR94_C0027, whole genome shotgun sequence.